CCCGGCAUAGAUACUUUUAACUGUAGAGAAAUUGCUAGUGGGUUUUUGUGUACCUAACAGAGUCAUGCAGACCCACUUCUAGUAUAUUUACUUAGAGGAAGAAACCUAAGCUUUGGUUUUGGGUUUAAAUUCAGACUCAGCUACUUACCAGUGGAAUGGAAUUAGGGAAUGCUAUUAUUAACCCCAGUUCUUUUUACCUGUGGAAGAAUUAUUUCACUUGUAUGGAAACCUACCUGGCUGAGGAUUUUUGUGACAUUCACUGGUUAUUCUAGACUAGCAUCUGAAUUAUGUUGAGUGUUCAAUAAAUAUUUGCAUAAUAAACGUAGAGUGAGUUACAAGCUAAAUUUCAGUUUUAAAGGAUAUAUGCAGCAGGCCUCUAAACUCCAAAGUUUGCAGUGUUGGUCACCUGGAAAUUUCUUUAGGAUUUUCUAUUUGUGGAGCACUUUAGUUGUUAUAAAGGAAUUAGUCUUCCAGGGUAACUGCCCUCAUCUCACAGAGAGCUUUUUUAUGACUCUCUUCUUAGAGAAGGAAGCAACUAAGCUCUUUUGAAAGUCAUGGCCAUAGUUUAGUGAAAGGGAAUGGAAGUGCCUUUGUAAUGUGAAUAUUUCUGAGGGCUUUUCAGUUUAUUCCUAACUGAUAUGCUUUUUGUGCACGCUGAUUAGUCUUGCUGGUUUUAUCUUCUGGUUAUCUCUAGCUAAUUGCUCAACUUUUCAUCCUCUGAUUCAUUCCUGCAAAGCCCUGUGCCCACAGUCUGGUCUCUCCCAGGAUUUUGAGCAAUACUUCAAUACAGCCUAAAGUUGCACAGAAUGACCUCUACAGAAAUAUUUUUCACAGAGCCAUUACCAAAGAUGAUUGAGAACCAAGUUUAAUGUCACGACUCUUCUCUCUCUUCGCUGAUGUGGAGUUUUGGACAGCUAUUUCAUCAGGCUGAAUGCCUUAGCCAGCUUUCAAAGGAAACACCACCCACUGUGUCAGGAAAUGCCCUGAGCAAAGCCAACCUGUCUCUCUUCCAAGCCUCAAGUCUUUCAGCUGAAAGCAGGGAAGCAGAAGAAAAAAAAAAAAAAACUAUCUCUAUUGACUUGCACUACAUUUUGGAGUAAUUGACACCGUGAAGAGUAAGUGGGGGGAGGGUGAGUAUAUUUUAUAUGUUAGAGGGAUGGAGAUUGUUGGGACAGAUGGUAGAUGGUGGCAGAUUAUGUUUAUAAAAAUGACCACAGCAAUAUUCCAGGGCCAGAUCGUCUUCCAAAACUUUGCCAUUCCCCUUAAGAAGUGGAAUCUAUUUUUGCUUCUGACUAUAAUUAAUGGAAUGUGGGAAAAGAGAUACUGUGUGAUUUGUGAGGCUAGAUUAUAAAAGGUGAUAGGAGUCUACCUGCUCUUAAUCUUCACUUCCUUGUCCUUGGACUCCAGCUGUACUAGUCCCCUUAGAAAAACCACAUGCAGAGUAACUGAGGCUGCUUACCAUCAGUCAGAGCAAACCUCUAGAUACAUGAGAGAAUGAGCCUUUGGAUCAGUCUAGGCAUGAAGGUUGGCAUCUAGUAUCUGAAGCCCCAGACAUAGUGGGACAGAGACAAGAUGUCCUGCUGUGCCCUGUCCAAAUUCCUGUCCUACAGAAUCCCUAAGUAUGAAAAUUUUUUUUUUCUGACACUAAGCUUUGAGGUACUUUGUUACAAAGAAAUUGUAUCUGGAAUGCUAAGGAACCUAAGAUCCCUUAUAACCCAUCCAUCCAUAUAGAGUAGAGGGAAUUCAAAAUCCAAUGUGCACAUGGUCUUUAAUAUUUGUAGAUUGUCACCAACUAAGACAGAUUUCCAACACUUGCUGUUCUCAUAAGACUCUUGGAUGCCCUUGGUUUGUACUCAAAUUUAGAAAAUUACUUUUCUAAAAUAUGACUAGAUUGUGGGCCCAGCUAUUAUAUUUUCUUAGUAUAAAAAUUGUCCUCUGGAAGAGGAUAUGAUAAGCAUUUUUUUAUUUGAAGGCUAAAAAUAGAAGCCAAAACUUUCAGUUCAAGAUAAUGGAGUAAUUGCAUGAGGGAACAUAAGUUUCCAGGUCCUAACCACCCCACACCCUGCUUAUUCUAAGGUGAAGUCUGUCAGACCAUGCACACAGUGCUUACUGUCAGCCACCCAACUUAGGAACAAGACUCUUGGGGCUGAAGGGAUAGGUUAGUGCAUUUUCAGAGGAAACCUCCAACAUCCUGUAUUAACCUGCAUCGUCUUUUAUUAAUAGUAUUGACCACUUAAGAUCACUAGACUUUUGGGAAAGGCAAGUAGUGCAAAGAGAAAGAACAGGAAGAACAAAUAAUCACUAACACCCAAGGAAAAUGAUGAUUAAAAAAGAAGAGAAACAUAAAAAUACCUAAUUAGUAGGCUUAGAGACAUUUGAGUGAACAAUGACUCUAUAAGCUAGAUGGAAAUUCUUUGGGGAAAAAGGAAAGACUGGGAAAGUAGGAGCAUAUAAAAUAUAAAAACAUGUUAAUGACAAAACUAAAAGAAAUGGAAAAGAACAGAAAAAAAAUGUUGAAGAGUCAUAUAAUAGACAUUUUAGAGAAAAGAAAACAUAAAAGAUUUCACAUUUGGAAAUAUUGUCAUAAAAUUUCUAUAGUCUAGCAUGAAAAUGAAGAUUCCAUGGUUUCUGAGGGAGAGGACCAGGGCACAGGGUAUCAUUAAAGGGGUUAGGAGACCAUGUAAUGAAAAAUAUUUAAUUGGUACCAAACUUCCCUGAAGUAGCAAUGGGUGUUGGAAACAACAUAGCAAUGACUUUAACCCUCCAAUGCUCUGUCCAGAAAAAAACUACUAAAUGUUAACGAGAAAUAGAUACUAGCAGGAAAGGUAUUCAAAUAAUCUCUCUCGAACGUUAUCUGGAAAAAAGAAUAUAUAUACUAGCCAUGCAAAUACUCUGAACAGGAUGAUGCCAUGGCCCUCCAGAAAUCGUGGAUCUCGCUUUGGAAAAUAAACUGAGGGAUGACAAAUGGAUAUGCGAGACCACCAAUUGGGUUAACACUAGAAAAUCACAGGAUUCUAACAUUGUUAAGAAACUGCAGAAGGCAUAUUCUCUUACUAAAAAAACUUUGUAAAGGAAAAGCUAAAGAGAAAACAAGAAUUGAAUAAAAUAUCUGGGGUACCAAUACGAAGGAGAAAACAUGCAGCAUGAUUUUAAUCACUUGAUAAAAUGAAAGAAAUUUCAAUGUUUUUGGAGGCAAGGAAUAUUCUGAAUGAAAAGGAUUAUUUGGAGGCAGGGAAAAGCAUAUGUUUAUCUAUAGCUCCGAUCUCUACCUCACAAUAUAUUUAUUCAUUCUAUGAAAAUGAUGACACAAUUACCAUCUUAUUAGAUUAUAUUUUUGGAAGCAUUGUAAAAUGAAGUCAGAUUUUAGUUAUGUAACAAAAUUAAAAGGUGAUUUUGUUUUACUUGUACAAGUCAUGCUGCACUGGAUUAUAAAUAGGAAAGUUGGGGGGAAUAUCCAGAAGUGAAGUGUAGGCACUGAUAUCCUCAUAUUUAUAUUUUGAGUGAAUUGGUAUUCUGUAAAUUUUAUUAAUAAAGAGUGUUAGUACACUCAAUAGGAAAACCAUUAGUUAUAUAACUAAAACCUUGACGGGGGAAAGCAGUUUGAAGUGUACUGAAUUUAUCAUCUUUGCAUAGGGUAGAUUAUACAGGUCAAGAAAGAGAUGUGUAUUGAAAGCAAUAAAAGUAAGCAUUUUUUUUCUUGAAUGUAUUUUGGCCCUUAAUAUAUGUGGGUAAGGUAGUCAUAAAAAACUAAAUAGUAAAUAUGCCUUUAUACUAAACAUUAUGUUUACUAAAUAUAAAACAUCAAAAAUAAUCUUGAAGUAUAUUGCUUACUAAAUGUAUACAACUCUUAGUAAUACUUUGAUAGGAAAUUUGCUUAAAGGAAUUGUAUUCUUCAUGUAAAUGUCAUAGAAUAAGAUACAUUGGAUAAACUUAUUGCUGCUAAAAAUGUAAACAAAUCAUAUGUGAAGAAUGUUGUGUAGAAUCUAUAAAGUAAAAUGUAUGUGCUUUCUGAAUUACAAAGAAAAUGCAUUAUCAAAUUUUUAAUCUUGAUAUACAUUAUUCACAUAUUCAGGUGAGAAAAGUGAUUAGACAGGAAGAAAUAGAAAACCUGAACAGACUAUUUACUAAUAAGGAGAUUGAAUCAGUAAUUAAAAACCUCACAAUGAAGAAAAACCCAGACCAGAUGACUUCAUGGGUGAAUUUUAUCAAAUGUUUCAAUGAAAAUUAACACCAAUCCUACUCAAACUCUUCCAAAAUAAGUCAAAGAGAAGGGAACACUCCCAAAGUCAUUUUAUGAGGCCAGCAUUAUCCUGAUAU